GAUGAACGCUGGCGGCGUGCCUAACACAUGCAAGUCGAGCGGCAGCGAGGGGUGCUUGCACCCUGUCGGCGAGCGGCGGACGGCUGAGUAACGCGUGGGAACGUGCCCCAAAGUGAGGAAUAACUGCCCGAAAGGGUAGCUAAUACCGCAUAUUAUCUUCGGAUCAAAGGAUUUAUCCGCUUUGGGAGCGGCCCGCGUCGGAUUAGGUAGUUGGUGAGGUAAUGGCUCACCAAGCCGACGAUCCGUAGCUGGUCUGAGAGGAUGACCAGCCAGACUGGAACUGAGACACGGUCCAGACUCCUACGGGAGGCAGCAGUGAGGAAUCUUCCACAAUGGGCGAAAGCCUGAUGGAGCAACGCCGCGUGCAGGACGAAGGCCUUCGGGUUGUAAACUGCUUUUAUAAGUGAGGAAUAUGACGGUAACUUAUGAAUAAGGUCG
rnacentral:rRNA from 1 species